UACAGAGGGUGCAAGCGUUAUCCGGAUUCACUGGGUUUAAAGGGUGCGUAGGCGGGCAGGUAAGUCAGUGGUGAAAUCCUAGAGCUUAACUCUAGAACUGCCAUUGAUACUAUCUGUCUUGAAUAUUGUGGAGGUGAGCGGAAUAUGUCAUGUAGCGGUGAAAUGCUUAGAUAUGACAUAGAACACCAAUUGCGAAGGCAGCUCACUACACAAUCAUUGACUCUGAGGCACGAAAGCGUGGGGAUCAGACAGG
rnacentral:rRNA from 1 species